AUUCAAAUAGCUUAAGAUUAAGAGUUUAAUAUUGAAGAUAUUACGGUAAUAUAAAAUUAUUUUUGAAUA
rnacentral:tRNA from 1 species